AUUGUGUAACAAGAAGAAUAAAGCCACUUAAGCCAGGCUUAAAAACAGGAAGUGAAGAAGCAGACUGAUAUUUCAGAAAAUGAUUAGAUAUUUUUGUUUUAAUUUUUCAAACUGUCCAAUUAUGCGUCGACACGUGUCCCAUUUUGAUUUGAGCCUAGAUGUGUAGCAUGAUUGAUAAGAGGUAAUUGCGCUUGCCCACAUUUGGAUUUGGGCCAGAGGACUACUGGGGUUGAUUGUUGGGAGGAUUUGCCAUUUGUGAGUCUUCAAUUAUUUUCUGUGCUUAUGUUAACUAGUUUUGGUUUUUGUCAAGUUUAAUUAUUUGAGCUGGUUGGGAUUUAUUGUUAUGUUUGAUACUGUAAUCAAAGGAAGAAGAAUUGGGAGACAUACAGCUAUUAGAUUGAUUCUGUUUUGGAAAAUAAAUAAAUAAAUGUUCACCUAUCUAAUUGGCUCUUAAUUUUAAGGAAAAUGCUAUGUGUACACAAUGGUGUACAAAUAGCAUUACACCCCCCUCACAUUGAGGAGGGCCCACACACACAAAAAUAUUCGUGGACCCCCUCUCCAUGUGAGAGGGGUGUAAUGCAUUGUGUACACCAUAAGGUGUAUACAUAGCAUUUCCCUAAUUUUAAAAUACGUGAGGUAUCCAACAUACUCGAACUAAAUGGAUUGAGGUAAACAAGAACAUUAACACAUUGAGAUGGUUUUCUAAAUUUGAAGUAAAUGAAAAAUGGUGUUUGUGUUGUGCAGCUACUCGCUAGCGGAAUGCGUUUGUAUAAUUUAUUGAUGUUCGAUUUAAUAGUCUAUAGGCUUGUUCUAGUUGGUAGGGGGCCUUCAAAAUUAGUCCGCAGAAAUGCAAUGCAAGAUUUCAGUUUUUGCAUUCCUUGAACUGUUGAACUGAAAUGCCGUCAUCAAUCAUUCUGAAAUGCCUCUCAAUCACAAUUAAUAUACAUUAGACGUUGACUGAUCAUUCCUUGUGUGAAAUAUGUUCCAAUAAAAGUCUCUUCAGCCUUGGCAAAACAAAUGAUGCCUGAAAAAAAAAAAAAACUCCGCUACUAAUAGCUGGCUGCUUUUACCGUCAGCUGUCCAUUUAGAAAUGGUGGCGAUUCCUACCUCACUUUGGUACAGGGCUAGUGGAAUCAAUGUUGUAGGUGCAUAUGUUGAAACUAUACGCAUCAAUGAUGGUCCUGAUAUAUCAUCCGCAUGCAUAUAUCUUUUUUUUUUUUUUUUUUUUUUUUUUAAUAUCCAGGUAUUCCAGCUUACACUAGACCAAAUCCUGGACCCCAAAGAUCCUUGUCCCUAGAACCUUGGAGGAGGUAAAUCGCGGGUUAUGCCUCAACUGGAUCACAGGUUCCCCCGACCGCCUGUACACUUCUGCGCACAAGAGAUCCUUCUCCAAAGUGAUUGCUUCAUACCAAAUAAAUCUGGCCGCAAGUUCCCACCAAGAUUCGAACCUCCACCUUGCCGCUGGAAACAAGACAAAUGUUGAUUGAUCCACCAAUUGAGCUGUACCCCGGGGGGCAUCUGCAUUUUGGUAAAUGUCUAGGUGAUGUGUCAUAUAUCUAUGGAUAGAAGAUUGGUCCUAAAGCAUAAAAACUAUCCAUAGAAGAUCGGUCCUACAUGGAUCGGGAUCAUUUUCAUCAAUGAACAAGUUUGAUGCUAUGCUACUUUCUGAUUCGUUCUGAUUACCAUUAGCUCCCUGAAUAGGACUUGGUGCCUCUAAGAAAUCGGAAGAAUUCUCUUCACUCUCUGCGCUUCCACUCAAAUAUCUAGGCUCAGACGUGCAGCCAAAGUCCUUAUCAUUUUCAUCAAUGAACGAGUUUUUUCUAUCCAUAGUAUUUUGGUAAUGUUGCUGGAAACUAUCCAUAGUUUUUUGUAUUUUGGUAAUGUUGCUGGAAAUUGUCAGCAGUAUUUGGUGAAUGAUACACAACCAUGACACGAUGUUCUUGUUUUUCUGUCCAAAUACAUCCCAAACAUUUGGUCGUUGGAAUUUUGCUUUAUGUAUCCAGUAAUUGCUUUUGUAUUUAUGUGGAUGGAUGUUGAAUGGUCUCAUUGAAUGGAUACUAGAAUUUGGCAAUUGGUAGCUUUCUUUCACUGCUGUAGUUAAUUUGCAAUGCAAUAUAGUUCAUUUUGAUACUAAUUUAGCUUUGUCUUUUGAACCUUUUAGAAAGCUUGUGUGUUCAAGAUAAGUGUGAUGCUUGUUUGAUUUGCCAGGAUAAUUCUUUUGUGGGUUUUAAAAUAU
rnacentral:lncRNA from 1 species